AGUCCAUGGUAUGGACAUUUCCGAAACAAAUAUCUAAACCUUUCCCGUGAUUCAUAUAAUAAUUCACCAUUUAAUUGACUAAAACUAGUAAUGUCCAUUCUAAUUUU